UGAGGCAUAACAGAAAACCAUUAGCUCCAGGUUCUUUUACAAAAUAAAAAAAUUCCCUUUCCUCCAAAAAAAUACUCAAAAGCCCCAAAGCACAGUAGAAGCUUGAGAGACAGAGAUACACAUACUAGGAAGCAUCAGAACAUUGAAAACCAACUGUUAUAACAUUCUAAUGGGAAAAAUCCAAAUCACUUGAAAGGAAGGGAUGAAUAUGCAGGUGGAUUAUCCAGGCUUACAUGGAUACAAGCAUCAGAGCAGCAUAGAACUGAGAAAAUCUUGAAGUCUUCUUUGCUAUUCAGCACCAUUUCAUGACAGACUCUCAUUUCAAAUGGUGUGUUAAGGACAACUGAUCUAGCACGUAGGGGUAACCUAAAUAGUAAGUCAUCUAAAAAUAUUAUUUCCACUUUUAUUGGUGAUUAUAAAAGAUCAGAAUAUGCACUAUCUCUCAGUCAGCAACACACUAGUUCAUUAGAAUUCAGCAUGAAAAAUAACAUCUGUAUUCUCUGAAAGAAAAAUGAAAAUUAUACAAGGAAAUCAUUAAGAAACAAAUAAACUUCUGAGAAAUUUCUCAUUGGUCUUUGGAAGUAUUUAUGUGAGAGAAAAUGACAGGCAUCCAUUUAUACCACUUUCAUGAUACUUUGGGUUUUAUGGAUUCUGUAGUAUGUAACAGCCCCAUUUCAGAAUCUUUCUCUAACAGAUACUUAUUACAAAAGGAAUGAUGUUCUUUUUUCACUGAAGGUAUCAAAUGACUGCUGAGUGCAAUAUAGACAGGAUUUCAGAAUAGAUGAUUGGACGUUCUCACAGGAAGGAAAAGGUUUUUUUCAGGAAUAAAAAUAUUUUUAUAAUGUGGACAAAUCUUUUCCUUUGUUUCUAGGAUAACAUCAAAACCCCAUCCCUCAGGACUGAUAUUUUUCUUACUAAAAGCAUAAUUCCUUCUGAUCCAAUUGUGAGUUCCAACUGUAUUAAGACUGAAGGCUGGAAGUCUGCCACAUCCAUCUAGAAUUUUAAUUAGAUAAAAAUAUGUGCUUAGACUUAAGCACAGACUUAAACUCUUGUUUGAGUGGGAUCUAUGUCAGUAUCUUGGCAGGACCUCAGUAAAUACAGUCCAAAGCAAU